rnacentral:rRNA from 1 species
CCUUUAGUUGCCAUCAGGUUAAGCUGGGGACGUCUAAAGGAACUGCCUACGCAAGUAGUGAGGAAGCGGGGAUGACGUCAAAUCAGCACGGCCCUUACGUCCAGGGCUACACACGUGCUACAAUGGCCGAUACAGAGGGCAGCUACCUGGUGACAGGAUGCAAAUCUCCAAAGUCGGUCUCAGUUCGGAUCGGAGUCUGCAACCCGACUCCGUGAAGUUGGAUUCGCUAGUAAUCGCGCAUCAGCCAUGGCGCGGUGAAUACGUUCCCGGGCCUU